rnacentral:rRNA from 1 species
CCUACGGGUGGCAGCAGUGAGGGAUAUUGGUCAAUGGGAGAGAUCCUGAACCAGCCAAGCCGCGUGAGGGAAGACGGCCCUAUGGGUUGUAAACCUCUUUUGUCGGAGAACAAACCCGGGCCGUAUCCCGGACUGCGUGUAUCCGCAGAAACGGCAUCGGCUAACUCCGUUCCAGCAGCCGCGGUAAUACGGAGGAUGCGAGCGUGAGCCGGAUUUAUGGGGUUAAAGGGGUGCGCCGGCGGAGGUGCACGUCAGCGGUCAAAUUGCGGGGCUCAACCCCGUACUGCUGUUGAAACUGCAUCCCUGGAGUGCGGGAGAGGUAGGCGGAAUGCGUGGUGUAGCGGUGAAAUGCAUAGAUAUCACGCAGAACUCCGAUUGCGAAGGCAGCAUACCGGAGCGCAACUGACGCUCAUGCACGAAAGCGUGGGUAUCGAACAGGAUUAGAUACCCUUGUAGUC